rnacentral:rRNA from 1 species
GGGCUGGGGCAGGCCUACACAUGCAAGUCGAGCGGUACAGUGAGUAAAGCUUGCUUUCUUGCUGACGAGCGGCGGACGGGUGAAUAAUGUAUGGGGAUCUGCCCGAUAGAGGGGGAUAACUACUGGAAACGGUGGCUAAUACCGCAUAAUGUCUACGGACCAAAGCAGGGGCUCUUCAGACCUUGCACUAUCGGAUGAACCCAUAUGGGAUUAGCUAGUAGGUGGGGUAAAGGCUCACCUAGGCGACGAUCUCUAGCUGGUCUGAGAGGAUGAUCAGCCACACUGGGACUGAGACACGGCCCAGACUCCUACGGGAGGCAGCAGUGGGGAAUAUUGCACAAUGGGCGCAAGCCUGAUGCAGCCAUGCCGCGUGUAUGAAGAAGGCCUUAGGGUUGUAAAGUACUUUCAGCGGGGAGGAAGGUGAUAAGGUUAAUACCCUUGUCAAUUGACGUUACCCGCAGAAGAAGCACCGGCUAACUCCGUGCCACCAGCCGCGGUAAUACAGAGGGUGCAAGCGUUAAUCGGAAUUACUGGGCGUAAAGCGCACGCAGGCGGUCAAUUAAGUCAGAUGUGAAACCCCCGAGCUUAACUUGGGAAUUGCAUCUGAAACUGGUUGGCUAUAGUCUUGUAGAGGGGGGUAUAAUUCCAUGUGUAGCGGUGAAAUGCGUAGAGAUGUGGAGGAAUACCGGUGGCGAAGGCGGCCCCCUGGACAAAGACUGACGCUCAGGUGCGACAGCGUGUGGAGCAGACAUGAUUACAUACCCUGGUAGUCCACGCUGUAAACGAUGUCGAUCUAUAGGUUGUGGUCUUGAACAAUGGCUUCUGUAGCUAACGCUUUUAUCGACCGCCUGGGGAGU